GUAACCAUUUCAGGUGUCACUCAUACAACUAUCGUUCAUCGGAUGAGAGAAUGUGGCUGGCCAGUAUCAGAAUCCAAUAAGUAACCCUGAGACGGAGUAUUCAGACUCAAUGGCAGUUGAACAAUAUGGUGGAGAUGCUGACCAUGUUCACUUUGCGGUCAACGUACCUGUAAUUCACAGGCCACAACUCACAAAUGAGCAGAUUGACCCACUGCAAGAGUCUGAUUCAUUUAGAAUAAAUGUAUACCUCCAGACUCUCGCAUAUGUACAGACUUUGGUUGAAGAAAGGGAUAUUUGAAGUUUUAUUUCUGCUGCUCUAAUUAAUUUUGACAGCAAGGUUGUAAAUGUGUAUAUCGUCGCUGUCCGAUGAAAACCAUCCAUGUCCAUUGUGAGGUAAACUAUCAGCAAACGUUUGUUUUUGACAACUGUUCUCAAGUUUAUUAUAUAUUCACAACUAUUAUUUAUCGGUAAAUGGUCUAGACGUACGUCUAGGAGUGACUAAUUUACGGUAGGACUGUGCAAACAAAGUAUCUGUCUAGCAUUACCAUGUCAGUGUAUUGAUUCAUUGUCCCUUCAUAGUUUGCAAGAGACAUUUAAUAAAUUUAUAAUUAAUAUUAAAUAAACUAAGCGUAUUUAAUAAACUAAGACGUAGGCUAUUUAAUAACCUGAGCGUAUUCAUCUGUCAGUAUGAAACGCGACUUGGCCAUUCUAAUUAAUGAUCGGAAGAACGCGUAUGGACCACCGUUACUGUAAAAUAUGCAUGUAUGUCCAUUUAAACUCAAUUUUGGUCAAAUGUGGAUUAUAUCAUUACACUGGCAAGAAUAUGGUUACAUGUAAAGAUGCCGUACCAAGUAUGACAGCGCUACAUUCAACUGCUUUUGAAAUACGGUGUUUUUUUCACUUCCUGAAAAGUAACCGUUUUGGACAUACGUGAGUUUCAUCGGGCAGCGACGAUAUAUAGUUGUAUAUCAAGUAGAAAUUGUGGAGAAAAAAAAACUUUUUAAGACAUAUGUAAAAUAAAGACAGACUCUGAAAAAGAA